UUAAAUUGAAGAGUUUGAUCAUGGCUCAGAUUGAACGCUGGCGGCAGGCCUAACACAUGCAAGUCGAACGGUAACAGGAAACAGCUUGCUGUUUCGCUGACGAGUGGCGGACGGGUGAGUAAUGUCUGGGAAACUGCCUGAUGGAGGGGGAUAACUACUGGAAACGGUAGCUAAUACCGCAUAACGUCGCAAGACCAAAGAGGGGGACCUUCGGGCCUCUUGCCAUCGGAUGUGCCCAGAUGGGAUUAGCUAGUAGGUGGGGUAACGGCUCACCUAGGCGACGAUCCCUAGCUGGUCUGAGAGGAUGACCAGCCACACUGGAACUGAGA
rnacentral:rRNA from 2 species